rnacentral:rRNA from 1 species
AUUGAACGCUGGCGGCAGGCUUAACACAUGCAAGUCGAGCGGGGUGAUGGUGCUUGCACUGUCACUUAGCGGCGGACGGGUGAGUAAUGCUUAGGAAUCUGCCUAUUAGUGGGGGACAACAUCUCGAAAGGGAUGCUAAUACCGCAUACGUCCUACGGGAGAAAGCAGGGGAUCACUUGUGACCUUGCGCUAAUAGAUGAGCCUAAGUCGGAUUAGCUAGUUGGUGGGGUAAAGGCAUACCAAGGCGACGAUCUGUAGCGGGUCUGAGAGGAUGAUCCGCCACACUGGGACUGAGACACGGCCCAGACUCCUACGGGAGGCAGCAGUGGGGAAUAUUGGACAAUGGGCGCAAGCCUGAUCCAGCCAUUCCGCGUGAGUGAAGAAGGCCUUCGGGUUGUAAAGCUCUUUCGCAAGGGAAGAAACGAUACCGGUGAAUAUCCGGUGUUAAUGACGGUACCUUGAUAAGAAGCACCGGCUAACUACGUGCCAGCAGCCGCCGUAA